GGAGGGUGCAAGCGUUGUUCGGAAUUAUUGGGCGUAAAGAGCGUGUAGGCGGUCCGGUAAGUCAGAUGUGAAAGCCCUGGGCUCAACCCAGGAAGUGCAUUUGAAACUACCAGACUUGAGUACGGGAGAGGAGGGGGGAAUUCCCGGUGUAGAGGUGAAAUUCGUAGAUAUCGGGAGGAAUACCAGUGGCGAAGGCGCCCCUCUGGACCGAUACUGACGCUGAGACGCGAAAGCGUGGGGAGCAAACAGGAUUAGAUACCCUGGGUAGUCCACGCCGUAAACGAUGAGCACUAGGUGUAGCGGGUAUUGACCCCCCCUGCUGUGCCGUAGCUAACGCAUUAAGUGCUCCGCCUGGGGGACUACGGUCGCAAGACUA
rnacentral:rRNA from 1 species